rnacentral:rRNA from 1 species
AACGAACGCUGGCGGCAGGCUUAACACAUGCAAGUCGAACGUGAAGCCACCUUCGGGUGGUGGAAAGUGGCAGACGGGUGAGUAACGCGUGGGAACCUACCUAGUGGUGCGGAAUAACUCAGGGAAACUUGAGCUAAUACCGUAUACGCCCCCCUUUAGAGAUAUUGGGGGGAAAGAUUUAUCGCCAUUAGAUGGGCCCGCGUCGGAUUAGCUUGUUGGUGGGGUAAUGGCCUACCAAGGCGACGAUCCGUAGCUGGUCUGAGAGGAUGAUCAGCCACACUGGGACUGAGACACGGCCCAGACUCCUGCGGGAGGCAGCAGUGAGGAAUAUUGCACAAUGGGGGCAACCCUGAUCCAGCCAUGCCGCGUGAGUGACGAAGGCCUUAGGGUUGUAAAGCUCUUUUGGCGGGGACGAUAAUGACGGUACCCGCAGAAUAAGCUCCGGCUAACUUCGUG